UAAGGUAGCAUAAUCAUUUGUCUUUUAAAUGAAGACUAGAACAAACGAUUUAACAUUUUAAUAAAUAUAUUUUAUUAAUAAAAUCAAACUUAUCUUAAAAGUAAAAAGACUUUUAUAUUAUAGAAAGACGACAAGACCCUGUUGAACUUAACUAAUGUUAAACUGGGGCAGUUAUUUAAUUUAAAUUUUAAAUUAUUCUCAUACUUAAAUAGAUCUAAUACAAUUAAUUAUCUGAUCAAGUUACCAUAGGGAUAACAGCGCAAUAUAUUUUACAAGACCUUAUAUAAAUAUAAACUUACGACCUC
rnacentral:rRNA from 1 species